rnacentral:sRNA from 1 species
GCGGAGGAAAAGAAACCAACAGGGAUUGCCCUAGUAACGGCGAGUGAAGCGGCAAUAGCUCAAAUUUGAAAUCUGGUCUCCUUUGGGGGCCCGAGUUGUAAUUUGCAGAGGGCGCUUUGGCGUCGGCAGCGGUCUAAGUUCCUUGGAACAGGACGUCACAGAGGGUGAGAAUCCCGUACGUGGUCGCCUGCCUUCGCCGUGUAAAGCCCCUUCGACGAGUCGAGUUGUUUGGGAAUGCAGCUCUAAAUGGGAGGUAAAUUUCUUCUAAAGCUAAAUACUGGCCAGAGACCGAUAGCGCACAAGUAGAGUGAUCGAAAGAUGAAAAGCACUUUGGAAAGAGAGUCAAACAGCACGUGAAAUUGUUGAAAGGGAAGCGCUUGCAGCCAGACGUGCCCGUGGUGGUUCUCCUCCGCGGGCAGGCCAGCAUCAGUUCGAGCGGUCGGAUAAAGGCCUCUGUCACGUAUCUACCUUCGGGUUGACCUUAUAGGGGAGGCGUAAUGCGAUCAGCUCGGACUGAGGUCCGCGCAUCUGCUAGGAUGCUGGCGUAAUGGCUGUAAGCGGCCCGUCUUGAAACACGGACCAAGGAGUCUAACAUCUAUGCGAGUGUUUGGGUGUCAAGCCCGGGCGCGCAAUGAAAGUGAACGGAGGUGGGAACCCUUUCUUGGGGUGCACCAUCGACCGAUCCUGAAGUCUUCGGAUGGAUUUGAGUAAGAGCAUAGCUGUUGGGACCCGAAAGAUGGUGAACUAUGCUUGAAUAGGGUGAAGCCAGAGGAAACUCUGGUGGAGGCUCGCAGCGGUUCUGACGUGCAAAUCGAUCGUCAAAU